UUUCUCUCUCUCUCUCACCCUCUCUCAUCCACCGCCACCAUGGUCCGUUCUUUUUUCAAUUUUCUAUCACCCCCACCAUGGCCUUCUUUCUCUCUUUCUUCAUUGACACAGCCCUUCCUCUCUCCUUCUCCCUACCUCUCUCUUUAUUUAUUUUCAUUGACUUGGUGGUAUUAGUUGUAGGAGUUUUUUAGAUCGGAUCUUGGUGUGGGACGGCAGGCGGCGGUGGUCGGUGGGGGCGGUGAGCAGCGGUGGUUUUGGUUGUUGGGGGCGGCGGUGGUUUUGAUCGCUAGUGGGCGGCGGGCGGUGGUGGUUUUGGUCGUUGGGGGCUGGAGGUAGUUUUGAUCGCUAGGGGCGGCGGUGGUUUUGGUCGUUCGGGCCGACAACGGCUUUGGUUGCUGGGGCGGCGAGCGAUGGUGGUUUUGGUCGGUGGGGGCGGCGACGGUUUUGGUCGCUGGCAUCGGUGGUGGUUUUCUUCGAUGGCGACAGUAAUUUUUGUUAGAAUUUGAUGUUGGGUUUGGAAAAAGGGAAGUCUAAUUAAGAUGGGAUGAGACAUAGAGGAAAUUAAGAUGGGAUGAGACAUCGAGGAAGAGGACGGAAGUGGAGGUGGUGGAGGUGGCGGAUCUAGGGUUUCAUAUUGGAUGAGUGCGAAUGACUAUGUGUGUCUAUGAAUUACUAUGAGUGUAUACGAAUGAGUAGCGACUAGGGUUCAAAAUGUGAGCUAGGGUUUUAUGAGUAUGUGACUACGGACUACUAUGGUUCAUAUAGGUGUCUAUAGUCUACUGCGACCGAUUUUUUUAAAAAAAACAUUCACAAUUUUCAAUAUUAAUAAAGUAAAUUAUAGUAUACCAUAGUAUACCACAGUACAACAUAGUAUUAUAUUGUUUUAUUUAACAAAAACGAAAAAAAUUUAGUACAAUGUUAAAAAUAAAUAAAAGAAUGAAGUUG
rnacentral:lncRNA from 1 species